UAGCACAGAGUCACAUAUAGAUUAGUGGUGUUCCCUACUGUCACUUUAUGGUCUUGCAGCUCUUUACCAUGCCUAUGUCAAUAUGUGCUUUGGUGACCAGUUACUCUCUAUCUCUACAGAUUAUUUUAAUGCGAUCCUAAGUAAGCUCAGUGGAAAAUCGUGUUGGUGGGAUACUUUCUCCGCAUUGCUACAGAUUGAUUUGUUAAUUUAACUUAAGAGUGGAAUCGCUCUUGAAUUGCUGACUUUGGUGACUGCCCUUUUUCCUGUUGAGCAUAUUGCAUAUUAGUUCACCUCUUGAACAUGACUAUAGUCAGGGAGCUAAUUUCAGAUGUAUGCAGAUGAAAGUAGCCAGGAAGGAAAACUCUAGGUGUCUACGGAUGCCAGCAUCAAGUGUCCGGUGCUUGAGCUACCAUCCGCAAUUUAGGUAGCAUAGAUCACAUUGCUGUUAUGUUAUGCAUGUUUACUAUUCCUAGCUGGUCCUAUAUUGUGGCAUGAUGGAUGAUCUCCUUUAUGUACUUUAUAUUGUAGAUGUAAUGAGUGUGUUGCAAGCUAUCCUUUAUUUCAACCGGUCUUUGCGUCACUUCUGACCGUUAUAACCAAACAAUUUUUAAUGAAAGGUCAUAUUUUCUGUGUGUUUA